CUUGUCUGCCGGGCAGCGGGUAGUAAGGUCACGGUGGUCAAGCUCUGGGCUCCAGCGACUCAGGCCCUUCCUCUGCACCCGAUGGUCACCACAGGGACUGCGUCAUCCCCACCCCACGGAUGCCACCUGGAGCCACGGCCAGGCCAAAGCAGUCCCCGUGGUGGUCUGGCUCCGGCCCAUGCCAUCCGGUGCCCGACAUCCUGUGGCUCCCACAGCUGGCCCUCAGCUCCUAGCAGGGCACCCCCAGGUGAGUGUCCCCCACGGACGCUCCCAGGGCCCCCACCUGCUCUCAAAGGCUGCACCCUAGGGCUCAGAGCCCAUGGCGUCCAGGUGCCCCAGACCUGUACCCCCACCAAAGCUGGGUCCACCCCCUGUUGACCACACAAUGCUCCAGCCACUGGGAACGUGGCUAGUCUCAGCUGAGAUGCAGCCCAAGUGUGGCGUCCACAUUGGCUAGACAAAGAAGGUGGGGUCCCUGGCUGACGCUUCUUUCAUACUGAUGACGUGAUGAGAUGGUAGCAGGACCCGCUGGACCUGAGUGUCCUGCUCAUCAGUUUCUCCUCUUCUUUUAAAAAACUGACCCCCAGGCAACCUGGGCCCACACAGGGGCGUGGGUCCAGCUGUUGCUUCCCCGUGGACAGUGAUACUCUGAGCCAGCCCAGUGUCCCAGGUCCCCAACACCCUCUCCAGGCCCAAACUCCCUGCGUCUGAGGGCAGCUGCCGCCCCUCUCCCAGCCCCCCAGGACCUGCCAAGCCAGCACCCGGCCUGCAGAUCCAUGUGCCAGGAUCGAGGGCUGCAGCCAGGGGCACUGGGGCCCUGACCCCUGCAGCACGCUGAGCGGGAACAACCCCGUCCUCUGUCGGGGGUGGUUCCCUCUGUGAGGGGCUUGGGGGGUGGGCCUGGGGGUCCAAGGGACCCCAGGCUGGCUGUGCGGCUACCAGAUGCUGAGUCCACGGGCCCCCUGUGCGGUUCUGGCUCAUGGUGAUGAGACGGGCAGAGCAGCUCACAGCCCUGUCCCCAGGCAAGGACGGCAAGGCUCCCAAGCCACUGCACCAAGGGCAGCAGGUGGGACUCAGGCCAAAGUCUGGGGGACACGCCAUGGCCCACGUUGUCCUGGGCUCCCAGACUUUCCUCAGGAACCUCUCCUCAGAAAUGACAUCACGUCCACGAGCCGCCAGAAUGAGCCCAAGCCACAGCAAAGUCCCCGAGAAUGCUAAGGCCCAGGCCUAGGGCACACGCACCUGUUGUUCACUUGUUCUUCUGUCCGUCCAUCUGUCCACCCAUCCAUCCGUGUCUACCUAUUCAUCCAUCCACCCAUAUCCAUCCAUCCAUCAUCCAUCCAUCCACCAUCCACCCAUCCAUCCAUCUCUUCAUCAUCUACCCAUCCAUCAUCUACCCAUCCAUCCAUCAUCUAUCCAUCCAUCAUCCACCCAUCCAUCCAUCAUCUAUCAUCCAUCCACCAUCCACCCAUCCAUCCAUCCAUCAUCCAUCCACCCAUCCAUCAUCCACCCAUCCAUCAUCCAUCCAUCCAUCCAUCAUCUAUCAUCCAUCCACCAUACACCCAUCCAUCCAUCAUCCAUCCAUCCAUCAUCCAUCCAUCAUCCACCCAUCCAUCCAUCAUCCAUCCACCCAUCUAUCCAAUCAUCCAUUUGUUCAUCAUCUACCCAUCCAUCAUCUAUCAUCCAUCCACCAUCCAUCCAUCUAUCCAUCAUCUACCCAUUCAUUAUCCAUAUACCAUCCAUCCAUCUCUCCAUCCGUCCAUCCAUCCCUCCGCCCAUCCAUCCAUCAUCCAUCAUCCAUCCACCCAUCUAUCCAUCAUCCAUCCACCCGACAUCCAUCCAUCUGUUCAUCAUCCACCCAUCCAUCCAUCAUCUAUCAUCCAUCCACCAUCCACCCAUCUGUCCAUCAUCCACCCAUCCAUUAUCCACCCAUCCAUCCAUCAUCUAUCAUCCAUCCACCAUCCACCCAUCUGUCCAUCAUCCACCCAUCCAUCCAUUAUCCAUACACCAUCUAUCCAUCCCUCCAUCCAUCCAUCCGUCCAUCCAUCUGUCCAUCAUCCAUCUAUCCAUCUACCCUUCCAUCCAUCAUCCAUCCACCCAUUCACCCAUCAUCCAUCCUUCCAGCUAUCUACCCAUCCAUCCACCCACCAUCCACCCAUCCAUCCACCAUCCAUCCAUCUACCAUCCAUCCAUCCGUCUUCCACUCCUUCUUGGGGGGUUGUGGUUGACAGUGGACCCUGGAGCAGGACUGUCUGGAGUUUGAAUCCUGGUCCUGCCACACACGAGCUGAGCAGGACAGGUAACCUUACCUCUGCACGCCUCCGUGUCACCCAUCUCAAACAAGGGGAUGACCUUAGCUCACGGAGGCCUUGGGAGGGGAGGCUCAGCUUCCUCCUCCUCUGACCUGCUGUGGACUGUGGGCCUCAGGACAAGGGGUCUGCCAAUCAGCCUCGGCCUCCUCUGUGCCACGGGGGUGAAGCUGCUCCUGCCUGCACUCAGAGGACCCCUUAGAGCCCCGGGGGGAGAGAAAGUGCUUGCAGAGCAGCCCGGGAGGGGCGGGCUGCUUCUCCAAGGGGUGGAGUGGCCGGGUACAGUGACAGCAUCUCCUGCUGCCCCCGUCCUGCAGCUGGGCCUCUGCUAUGGCGAGCACAGGCGCAGCUCCUCCACCAAGUCCCCUGGGGGGACCUCAGCCCCUUCACCACCGAGACCUACACAAGCGUCCCCACAGCCCCAGCCAUCAGCGCCCCUGCUCUGAGGUUGGGUCCCAGGUCCCUGGGGUCCCCUGCUCUUCUGGCCCCAGAGGUCCGGUGCCUCCUGCAGGUGCCUCCUGUGUCACCUGAGUCCCUCUUCUGCCUUUCGGCUCCACGCCCUGCCUCUUUCUGCCUGGGGCUGCCCCGGCCGGGAGCCGAGCUGCCACCACCCAGGGGCAGCCAGGGCCAGGAGGCUGCCGAGCCCCCACCCCAGCACAGAGGGAG
rnacentral:lncRNA from 1 species